rnacentral:misc_RNA from 1 species
CCACGGAGACCAUGCAUCCUUACGGGAGGCAGCGCGACUGUAAAUAAUGCUGCCGUAUGCAAGUCAGCUUGCUGGCAACACGAUCGAAUUGCGGGGACCUCCUAAAGCUCAACCUACUCCCUGCCACCGAAAGGUGGUAGCAUAGUUAAAAUGGUUGGGAUGUUACAAUGGACGAUCCGCAGCGAAGACCCUAAAGCGUCAGCCACGGGUAACGUUCACAGACUAAGUGAUUGUGGGUAGGCUUCUACUU